UUUUUUUGGCAGGAGCUUGUGCGUAUGGAGGGAGAUUAUUCACAGGACUUGAUUCCUUCUUUGGGUCCUCCACCUCGUCUUCCCAAGCCUACGCACCCGGAAAUGAUGGGAUUCAUGAAGAUGGUUGACGCUUUAAAGUACUACAUCAUCAAGCUUCGACGUGGUGCGAGUUGUCGGGGCGGUUCUGGAGGCGUUCUCGAGGAGCGACGGAGGUCUCGCUUGCGCUCGAGGCACAGAGGUU